GAUGAACGCUGGCGGCGUGCCUAAUACAUGCAAGUCGAGCGAACAGACGAGGAGCUUGCUCCUUUGACGUUAGCGGCGGACGGGUGAGUAACACGUAGGUAACCUACCUAUAAGACUGGGAUAACUUCGGGAAACCGGAGCUAAUACCGGUUAAUAUUUCGAACCGCAUGGUUCGAUAGUGAAAGAUGGCUUUGCUAUCACUUAUAGAUGGACCUGCGCCGUAUUAGCUAGUUGGUAAGGUAACGGCUUACCAAGGCAACGAUACGUAGCCGACCUGAGAGGGUGAUCGGCCACACUGGAACUGAGACACGGUCCAGACUCCUACGGGAGGCAGCAGUAGGGAAUCUUCCGCAAUGGGCGAAAGCCUGACGGAGCAACGCCGCGUGAGUGAUGAAGGUCUUCGGAUCGUAAAACUCUGUUAUUAGGGAAGAACAAACGUGUAAGUAACUGUGCACGUCUUGACGGUACCUAAUCAGAAAGCCACGGCUAACUACGUG
rnacentral:rRNA from 1 species